GAUGAACGCUAGCGGGAGGCUUAACACAUGCAAGUCGAGGGGCAGCACGAGGUAGCAAUACUUUGGUGGCGACCGGCGCACGGGUGAGUAACGCGUAUGCAACCUACCCUGUACAGGGGGAUAACCCGGAGAAAUUCGGACUAAUACCCCUUAAAGAUAUUUAGAGGCAUCUUUGAAUAUUUAAAGUUACGACGGUACGGGAUGGGCAUGCGUGACAUUAGCUAGUUGGUAGGGUAACGGCCUACCAAGGCUUCGAUGUCUAGGGGUCCUGAGAGGGUGAUCCCCCACACUGGUACUGAGACACGGACCAGACUCCUACGGGAGGCAGCAGUGAGGAAUAUUGGUCAAUGGGCGUAAGCCUGAACCAGCCAUCCCGCGUGCAGGAAGAAGGCGCUAUGCGUUGUAAACUGCUUUUCCAGGGGAAGAAAACUUCCAUCGAGAUGGGACUUGCCGGUACCCUGGGAAUAAGCAUCGGCUAACUCCGUGCCAGCCGCCGCUGUAAAAC
rnacentral:rRNA from 1 species